rnacentral:misc_RNA from 1 species
AUGAGUUGUCUUGGACCAGUGUCUUGCAACAUGGACCCCCGCCGUUGUGCGGCCGACUGUUCGCGACUGUGUCUAUCAAURUUCGCGGUUUUUAACCUUCCGCCCCGUCCCAAGUGCUUGCAUGACGAUACCCGACAUAAGGGAAGUGGUGCUUCGUACCCGGUUGCCUCGCGGCGAACACCCCUUGGGUGCUCCGCUGCGGCCAAAACGUGCUUGCGGCGUUGCCUCGUGGUGCCGUCACUCCAAGUGCUCGGUUCCGCCAAGGCCACCUCGCCUGCGCGCUUGGUCCAGGAUGUUGCCAACGGAAAAGGUUAGUGACCCAUCGGCGUCAGUCCCUAUCGGAAGCUCUCUCAGUAUACGACAGCUAACUCGGCUAGUUGAUGGUUACCGUGUCACUUGCUGGCCGGCAACCGCAACUUCCGGCGUUGGCUUGUCGACGAGGACGUGCU